AGUUAAUGAACUUGUAUAAGUAUAUAUUUUGAAAAUAUAAAAAAGAGAUUAUACCUCUAUUAACUU
rnacentral:tRNA from 1 species